UUUUUCAUGUUGUUUAACUUUCUGAUUUGGUUUCUUUAAAUCUUUUGAGGUUAUUUUGUUUGGAAUAGAACUUGACUAGAGAGAACACAUCGGCAACGAAGCCAUACAUUGAGAUAUGUGGUGUCAAAUAUAACUAAUGAUUGCAAAUGCAAGUUAUAAAGUAUCUCAAGUGUGGAGAGUAAAGGACUCAAAAUGAGAUUGCCAAGAUACUAACAUUCAGUGAUUAAGUAUGUGCUCAAGAAUGUUCAACAUGUAUGUUUCUAAUUCGGGUUUGGUGGGUAUCUUCCACAAAGAUGCAUCAUCUAUUGAGCUGCCACAUAUAGAGAAAUAAAUAAACAUGGAGAAGAGUCGAGACAUAUUUAGUAGAACUCUAUAGAAGAAGAGAUGAAUAUAAUAGAGAGCCAUGUAAAAGCUCCACUUUUU